rnacentral:rRNA from 1 species
CAAUAGCGUAUAUUUAAGUUGUUGCAGUUAAAAAGCUCGUAGUUGGAUUUUGGGUCGGGGGCACCGGUCCGCCGUUCCGGUGUGCACUGGUGGCCCCUUCCUUUCUGCCGGGGACGUGCGUCGCACUUAAUUGGGUGGCGUUCGGAGUCGGCGUUGUUACUUUGAAAAAAUUAGAGUGUUCAAAGCAAGCCAUCGCUCUGAAUACAUUAGCAUGGAAUAACAUGAUAGGACUCCGGUCUUAUUUUGUUGGUUUCCGAGACUGGAGUAAUGAUUAAGAGGGACAGUCGGGGGCAUCCGUACUUCAUUGUCAGAGGUGAAAUUCUUGGAUUUAUGAAAGACGAACUUCUGCGAAAGCAUUUGCCAAGGAUGUUUUCAUUAA